ACAGCAGCCGCCGCGGUAAUACGUAGGUGGCAAGCGUUGUCCGGAAUUGUUGGGCGUAAAGCGCGCGCAGGCGGAUCAGUUAGUCUGUCUUAAAAGUUCGGGGCCCAACCCCGUGAUGGGAAAGAAACUACAUGUCUUGAGUACAGGAGAGGAAAGCGGAAUUCCCAGUGUAGCGGUGAAAUGCGUAGAUAUUGGGAGGAACACCAGUGGUGAAGGCGGCUUUCUGGACUGCAACUGACGCUGAGGCUCGAAAGCCAGGGGAGCGAACGGGAUUAGAUACCCGAGUAGUCCCUGUCUCUUAUACA
rnacentral:rRNA from 1 species